AACGCACCUUGCACCCCUUGGUAUUCCGAGGGGUACGCCUGUUUGAGUGUCGUGAACUCCUCCAACUCCGGUUUUCCAGAGUAUGGGAUUUGGGUGUUGCUGGUCCCUGGUAGACCGGCUCGCCUUAAAUGUAUUAGCGAAGCCCUUGCGGCCUUGGCAGUGAUAAUUAUCCGCGCCUCGGCUUAGCGACUUUGAAGGGGAAUUGCUUAUAACCGUCCCUCGGGACAAUACACUACGACUUGACCUCAGAUCAGGUGGGACUACCCGCUGAACUUAA
rnacentral:misc_RNA from 1 species